GCUGCUGCUGCUGCUGUUGCUGCUGCUGCUGCUGCUGCACCUGUUGUUGCUGCUGCACCUGCUGAUGCUGCUGCUGAUGCUGCUGCUGC
rnacentral:sRNA from 1 species